rfam:Rattus norvegicus chromosome 12, whole genome shotgun sequence.
GGGGAUUUAGCUCAGUGGUAGAGCGCUUGCCUAGGAAAGCGCAAGGCCCUGGGUUCGGUCCCCAGCCCCG